GACGAACGCUGGCGGCGUGCUUAACACAUGCAAGUCGAACGGUAAGGCCCUUCGGGGUACACGAGUGGCGAACGGGUGAGUAACACGUGGGUGAUCUGCCCUGCACUUCGGGAUAAGCCUGGGAAACUGGGUCUAAUACCUGAUAGGACUCCUGGCCUCAUGGCUUGGGGGGGCAAGCUUUUGCUGUGUGGGAUGGGACCGCGGCCUAUCAGCUUGUUGGUGGGGUAAUGGCCUACCAAGGCGACGACGGGUAGCCGGCCUGAGAGGGUGACCGGUCACACUGGGACUGAGAUACGGCCCAGACUCCUACGGGAGGCAGCAGUGGGGAAUAUUGCACAAUGGGCGCAAGCCUGAUGCAGCGACGCCGCGUGAGGGAUGACGGCCUUCGGGUUGUAAACCUCUUUCAGCUAUGACGAAGCGCAAGUGACGGUAGUAGCAGAAGAAGGACCGGCCAACUACGUGCCAGCCGCCGCGGUAACAC
rnacentral:rRNA from 1 species